rnacentral:rRNA from 1 species
AGCGAACGCUGGCGGCAGGCCUAACACAUGCAAGUCGAACGAAGUCUUCGGACUUAGUGGCGGACGGGUGAGUAACACGUGGGAACGUGCCUUUAGGUUCGGAAUAACUCAGGGAAACUUGUGCUAAUCCCGAAUGUGCCCUUCGGGGGAAAGAUUUAUCGCCUUUAGAGCGGCCCGCGUCUGAUUAGCUAGUUGGUGAGGUAAAGGCGCACCAAGGCUACGAUCAGUAGCUGGUUUGAGCGGAUGACCAGCCACAUUGGGACUGAGACACGGCCCAAACUGCUACGGGAGGCAACAGUGCGGAAUCUUGCGCAAUGGUCGAAAGCCUGACGCAGCCAUGCCGCGUCGCUGAUGAAGGUCUUAGGAUUGUAAAAUCCUUUCACCGGUGAAGAUAAUGACUGUAGCCGGAGAAGAAGCCCCGGCUAACUUCGUGCCAGCCGCCGCAGUAACAC